rnacentral:rRNA from 1 species
GAUGAACGCUGGCGGCGUGCUUAACACAUGCAAGUCGAACGGGAAACCUUUUAUUGAAGCUUCGGCAGAUUUAGCUGGUUUCUAGUGGCGGACGGGUGAGUAACGCGUGGGUAACCUGCCUUAUACAGGGGGAUAACAACCAGAAAUGGUUGCUAAUACCGCAUAAGCGCACAGGACCGCAUGGUCCGGUGUGAAAAACUCCGGUGGUAUAAGAUGGACCCGCGUUGGAUUAGCUAGUUGGCAGGGUAACGGCCUACCAAGGCGACGAUCCAUAGCCGGCCUGAGAGGGUGAACGGCCACAUUGGGACUGAGACACGGCCCAGACUCCUACGGGAAGCAGCAGUGGGGAAUAUUGCACAAUGGGGGAAACCCUGAUGCAGCGACGCCGCGUGAAGGAAGAAGUAUCUCGGUAUGUAAACUUCUAUCAGCAGGGAAGAUAGUGACGGUACCUGACUAAGAAGCCCCGGCUAACUACGUG